GAAUUUUAAUCUAAUCAUGCGAAACGCCUACUUUGUUUAUUCUCAACUCUGUUGGACCGUUGAUAAUGUUAGCCACUUAGGAGUAGAUCUUCCUAAAGCUCUUAUGUAAAUAUCUAUGCUUAUUAAUUUUUAAUUGGAGAAAACAUGUAUUCAGUUGUGUAUUGAAAAGGAAACACACGUAUUAUCAGAUAAGAGUGUCACCAAUUAUUGAACUUCUGAUAUUUGUCUGAGGUGGUGACUCUCCAAUCUCCAUUACUUGUAACAUUGGCAUUUUCGAAAGCAUCUCGCCCUAUUUUCCGGGCAUGGGUCGCAUUCCAUCUGCUAUGCCGCACCUGGUUUGCAGCAAUUUCGUGUUUCUCGCUCUCACAAGGUAUACAAUGGAAAGUGAAAUCUUCACACAUGCAAUAUAUACGUUCCAAAAGAAUUUCAAACUUCAAUUUGUGUAAGCUAAACUACAUCACAUAAAUUGAGACGGCGGCUAGUCAGCUUCAACCUUUCUGGCAUGGGUUACACUGCUAGUAAUCUCUCAGUUGCACCAAUUUUGAGCUAGUCAGGCCUCCUCAGAGUUGACAGAGAUUCCUUCGUUUUUAUUCUCAGCGUGGAAAUUGGAACCCGCUGUUAAGCUUGUCAAGGUAAAGCUAAAUCCAUGCUUCACAUCUGCUGCUUGUUUUUGAAUGGGAAAAAUAGGAAUUUCACUAUUAAACAGGAGUGCAUGAAGGUAAAAGAAAGUGUAACUACUAUAGAUGCGUUUUAUGAUGUCAUCUCCGUGAAAAUAAAGAAUUCCAACAAAUUUCAGUCACUGCAUUUUAGUUGUGUGUAAAUUAAAUGAAAAUUUUAUGUAGGUAAAACUCAUGUUAGUACUACGAAAUUUCUACAUAGCAGGAAUCUGUAAUGCUCUGUAAUUUGUGUAUUAAAUGAGAUAUCUGCAACUGCAAGGAUUUCAUUACAUUAUCAA